GUCAGUCAAUGAGACUUUUUGGUCGAAGUCAAUAAUGAAGGGUUCAGGGAGAAAGGUUGUUGCAGAGCGACUAGACCUGUCCUUACCCGAUCUACGAGCUGCAUUUCUUGACUGUUUCGUGAUAACAUUGUCAUUCAGGGCUUUGAACUAGCCACGCUAAUCAUGAAUUCCUGUUGAAGAGCAUGCAGCUUGGUUUCAAGCUUCGGGCGCAGUAACGUGUAUGGAUGCACGUCGAGCGGCAGAAUUUUUCUAUCUCUACUGUCAAGAGGAAGGGGAACUGAAAACUGGGUCUGGAGAAGUUCACUCGAGGAGCAGCACAUACGUACAUCAGUGCCUUUCCAAGGCCAGUGACCCCAAGUAAAAUUGAUACUGAAUUGUGUCAGCACCUGAUGGUGGUAUGACCUAUUCCUAAAUUAGCCUACUUUGCCUGUUAGUGAACAGUGGAGCAUAGCAGAACAUUAUCAAUUCUGUCACAAGCCGUGGCAAGAUAUGGGAUCGUACCGUUGCGCUGAAGGUGUGCGAGCUGGGCUGCAAGGCGGUCGCUGCAGUAGAUCGCUAUGCGGCCCAAGUGAAUGCAUGAUUCACUGUCUGGAUACCAUGUUAUUGGAUAUGACUGCGCUGUUAGACAAUGUCAUAUUAUUCUGACAGAUAUGCAGUAGGAAGCAUCCAGCAAUGAUGAGAAUAUGUGUGAGCAAUGUUUCGUGAGCAUUGCUACCAAGUCCAGCCUCACUGUCAGCUUUGAUAAAACAAAGUGCAUGGUCGUCAAUUCUGAUCCACUUUUUUUCCGAGUGCUUGGUGUUUUCAGAUGCCGACAUCUAAAUUGUGAAAGAACUCACUUACCUAGGUAGCUGUAUUGCUGGCGACAGUCUGUUGUCGGUUGAGGUGUCUUCAUGUCUUGCCAAGGCUUCUCUGGUAUUUGGUGCCUUGCAUUCUUCUAUGUUUGGGAACAGCCACAUAUCCAUUCAAACCGAACACACGUUUGUUUUGCAGUUCUGUCAACGUUGCUACAGUCAUGGCCAGUCAAGGCAACUGGUACCCUUCGACUAUCAGCAUUCCACAACCGCUAUGUUAGCUUCAUCUCAGACGUUAGCAAGUCGGAGCAACGGUAUGAGCAUCUCUCCACCAUUGCCAUCUUGGGUACUGGCAGACACUGACUGCGUACCCCAUUAGCCGGUGGCUGUAUGGCUGUGGUUGGAAUGCAUCCGCAGAGGCUUACCCAGGAUGACGUUGAAACAAAAGUUGAACUGCUGCGGAAGUAUUUUUUUGUUGAUGGUCCUGGAAAAGACAGUGGAAUUACAUCAAUGUACUUACAUUUUGACAUUACCAGGUACCGCAAAAUGACAUCACUAAGGGACUAUUACCACGUGUUUGGAGACUCG